UGACUAGAAACCCAACAAACCUCACUCUCUCUGGUUUCCCUCUGUGAAAUCUUAGAAGUGUGAUUGUUCCACUGUUCUCCGUUUGAAGAAAAGUGGGGUUUAAGAAGAAAAUAUUGAAAGGGCGUAAAAAUAGCGCGACAAGCACCGAUAUUGAAUAGCCGUUUGGAGUGAAACGUGGACAACGAUGGAUUCGGUGGUCUCUCAGGCGAACAGGUGAGGUGACCGCUGAUUUCAUGGAUUUUCCAUGAAAUCGUUGUCGAGAUAGGGCACGUACUAUAAUAGAGUGAUAAAAACCCAAAAGGAAUUUUUUUUCUCAGGUGACGGUAACUGUGAAACGUUGCCUGCUAGGUGUCGCAAGGCGGUGCCCUCGUG
rnacentral:misc_RNA from 1 species